AUCCAUGUAGCUUAAUUUUAAGAGCAUUGUGUUGAAGCCGCAGAGGAGAUAGUUAAUUAUCCGUGGAUG
rnacentral:tRNA from 1 species